GCCUCUUGACCAACUCUGUUUCUCAUGUUUCACCUGCCUGAGUCGGGGCAGGAGCCUUCUGCAUGACGCAGCCUCAUUGGCAGAACAACCAUCUCAGCCUGCUCUGUCCAAAUUGAAGAGCAAGAAAUGCCAGUCAAUUUACCAGCUACAUUCAGAUUGCCUGAGAAUCCUGACUUUAUCAUUCACAGUAUGACCUUGGAUGAAUCAGAGGAGUUAAGAGGAAGCAAGAAGCAGAGUAAAACAGAUGCUCAGAGAAAAUCAGAGAGAGAGAGAGAGAGGAAGAGAGAGAGAGAGAUCAAGAACAAGCACAACCUUGUAGCCUCUGUGAAAGGUUGUCCAGGUUCCUGGCCACUUUCCACCUUCCAGUUCCAGUCCCCAGGAGUCCUGGCUGUACUUUGGCUUCUGUCCUUUGAUUUCAAUAUAUUGAGAGGACACCAGCAACGAUGGAUGGCAAUACCUUCUGUCUUUAUCACUGGAAUAGAGGGAAAAUAAAGUCAUAUCUCAGAAAAUGUACGGUAAGAAUAGCUAUAAUUGUCCAUUCCAUAUUUGCUUGUUGAGAAAACGAGGAGUGAUUUUUAUACUUGUCUGAAAACAUAAAUUAGGACUUGCUUAUCCAUUUAGUCAUUUCCAAAUGAGACAUGAAAAUAUGGACUCAUGCAUUACUACCGUCCAAACAUGGUACUUUUGCGC
rnacentral:lncRNA from 12 species